rnacentral:lncRNA from 12 species
AUGUCUGUUCGAGUAAGUCAAGAUGUAGGUGACGUGACCGCCUACAGGCCCGGGAGGCGAAGGGGUAGGAGGGCCCGUGCCAGGAGUGCUAGAGCCCUUAGUCUGGAGACCCCUCCUGCAGUUUUCCCAGAAGAUCUCAAGGGGUCUGCUGCUUCAGUCAUGACCCUGGAGUCCAGUGGCGAGCAGCCAGCCCCAGAGCUCGCUCCAGUGUUGGCCCCAGCCCCAGAGGGCAGUCAAGAAUCAGUCUCUGAGCCCAUUCCUGGGGCCCCGGAGGGCAGUUUGUCAGCCCCCGAGGGCAGUCAAGAAUCAGUCUCUGAGCCCAUUCCUGUGGCCCCGGAGGGCAGUUUGUCAGCCCUCGAGGGCAGUCAAGAAUCAGUCUUGGAGUCCAUAGCAGUCCCAGACCCUAUUCUCGCCUCAAAGUCCACCCCAGAAUUGUCUCCAGUCUUAAACUUUGCUCAAGUCCCAGAGUCCCUGGAGUCUGCCAUAGAGUAUGCUUUAGUUCCAGACUUUUCUCCAUUCCCUGAGUUUGCUCCGGAGCUAGUCCCAGUCCCGGAGUCCUCAAGGUCCAUCCCAAAUUCGACUUCAGAGCAAUUCUCAGUCCAGGAACAACCAGAGAUUAUCACAGAGCAAGUCCAGGAACAGAACAAGGUCAUUCCAAAACCAGUCCCAGGGUCUGUUCCAGAGCCUACGUCAUUCCUGAAGCCAGUCUCUGAGUUUGUCCCAGAGCCAAUCCUAGAGCCAGAGUCUGUUCCAGAAGCCCCAGAGGGCAGCGCAGCAGCCCCCGAGGGCGGUCAAGAAUCCACUCCUGAGUCUGUUCCAGUAGCCCCGGAGGGCAGUCCAGAACCAAUUCCUAAGUCCAUUCCAGUGGCCCCGGAGGGCAGUUCUGCAGCUCCUGUGGAAAGUCAAGAGUCUGCUCCUGAACCCUCUCCAUUGUCGGCUCAAGCUCCCGAGUCUGCUUCAUUCCAGAGUCUGUCAAAGUCUGCUACAGAUUCAAUCCAAGAGCCCUCAGAGCCAGUCCCAGCACCCAUUCCUGAUCCAGUCCAACUUCAGGAGGGGGUACCUUACAAUACUCCAACCUCCAAAUCUCCAGAACUAUCCACUUCCCCUACCACUUUCAAGCCAUCACUUGUCAAGCCGGUCAGUACUUCUACUUAUACCACCACCCGUAUCCCUAUAGCCCCAUCUUCUCUGCGGCGAGGCUUUAAUCGUACUCAAACCAUGCCUGCUGCCUUCAGCUCUACCCUGUCAGGCUACACCCCUGGACUUACUCCCACCCUUCCCACCCCCUCUCAUGUGCUGUCUGGACUGUUCGAGCCACUCCCUCCUAUUGUGCUUGUCUAA